CUCCUUCUCCCCUCAAGUGAGAAAAGCCUAGUUCCCGAGCCGGUGUACGCGGUUGCUUUACCCCUCCCCGCUCCCACGCGGGUGCCCCCUCCAGCCAUCGCUACUGCCACCACCUCGGUUCCACUCAAUCGAUUUUUGCUGCAUGUCAACACUUAUUCCCGAUUAGAACUUGGUGGAAAGACAUCUUCCUCCACUGAAGAGCUGCCCCUUUUCCACCCUCCUCUGAGUGCUUUCCCUUUCUCAUUUCUUCCAACAUCUUUCUUGGGUUAUUAUUUCAUGAGUAGCUUUAUAGUGAGGAACUGAAGCUCUUGCCAACAGCCAUGUGUGUGAGCUUGGAAACAAAUUCUCUAGCUCUUCAAAUGUCUGCAGCCCUGGCUGAAAACUUGACCGCAACAUAAGCUGCUUCCAGAUUCCUGACCCUCAAAACUGUGUGAGGUCUUCAGCUCAAAGGACUAUUCUCAAGGAGCUAUGCUCAAGGAACUGCACCUAGAAAGCUUCAUCCACAUCUGAGCCUGGUUGAGAUGACAAGAUUCUAGCCUUUGAAAUGUUGCUGUAAUGGGUUGAAACUUUUGGUGGCUUUGAGGUGUGAGUAUCAUUUACCUGUGGGAGGGAGAUUAGUCAAUGAGAGAUAGAGGAUAGACUCCUGGGUCAACCUUCAAUAUGGUGCUCAAGUAAUUCUUGCUUCUUGGUAUUCACGCCCCUGUGUAGUCCUUCCUUCCCCACAUUGGCUUGUAUAAUCAAUAGCAUAUUAUGGAAAUGACAAUACGUGGUUCCUAAGACCAGGACAUAAAAGAUAAUUGCGGCUUCUGCCUUGCUCUCUCUUGGACAACUCACUCUUGAGGAAGUCAGAGAUCAUGUCAUUUCAUGAGGACACUCCAGCUGCCCUAAUGACAGAGCCAUGUGGUAAUGAUCUGAGCCAGCAUGAACUUGACUGCCAUGUAAGUGAGCCAUCCUAGAGGCAAAUCCUGGAGGCGGCUCCAGUCAAGCUUUCAGAGGACUGUAGAUAUAGCUGAGAUUUUACCCAUAACCUCGUAAGAGACACUAAACCAGGAUUACCCAGCUAAGCUGCCCUUAAAUUCCUAAGCCACAGAAACUGUGAAAGAUAAUAACUGUUUGUUGUUGUUUUCAGCCACUAGAUUUGGCGGUAAUUUUUUUUUUUUUUUUUUAUAAAGCAACGGACAACUAAAACAGUAAACUACAAUCUCAUUAUAAGGCAAAAGUUGAAAUGACUGCUUAAAAAUGUUAUGUUUUUUGACUGCAUCAAUUGAACAAAGGUUCCAUGUCAGAGAUGGUAAUAGUUCACUUCUAGACUUAUAACAAUUUAAGAUAUUGUAUGUAGUUUGAGUCAUAUACUUUGAAAGACACUGGCAAACACAAUGAGAGCACUAAGGACUAUCAGGAUAGCGAAGAUUUAACAAACUAUAACAUGAAGAGUACAUGAGAACACCUGGUGAAAAUCUGAGUAGACUUAGGGAUGACAUGACAUCUGUACAUGUGUUUAAAGCAUUAGCACAAGAAACAUGUAAUGGCAUAGCCUCUCUUCCUUCCAAGGGGAGAAACGAAGAAAAGGCUACAAGUUAUAUAACAGUAGAUUUUAAAUAACACAGAGAAGUAUUUUUUGAGGCUUCCAGUUAUCUAACAAAAGAAUGAUUUCUUCAUUGGAAGAGUUGAAACACAGGCUAGAUUAUCACCUAUAAAAAAUGUAGUACAGAAAAAUUCUGGACUAGGAUGUUGGAUAAACUUCGCAAAAUGUCACUAGGCUACUUUCCAAUCUGAUCUAAGAUAUAUUUAUUCAGUUACCUUCAAUAAACAGCAAAUUUCUAGGAACUCCCUUACACAAACCUUCAAAGUCUUGUAGAAGUUUCAUCAGACAACACAAUAGAUAUUUUGCAGAUCCUUGAAAUGUAAUUAGUAUUUUCCCAGUUACGUGCGCAUCUAAGAAACAAAGCAGAAAGACAACUACAGAAGGAAGAUACCACUUAUUCCCUUGUUCUGAAGAUUAAAAAAAAAAAAACCCAAACUUUUCUGGGGUAGAUGCAUUUUCUAAAGCUAAGAUUCCGAUUCAGUUUUGGCCUCAUUUUAAAGAAGAAUGUUGUGGAUUAGAUUGAUUUGUAAGAUUUAAAGACAACUUGCAUAUCAAAGUGCAAAGACGGUAAGCAUAAUUCAUUUUCUUCUAUGAGAGUCAUUUCAUUCUCUACUAUUUGAGAAACAUCUGCAGGAUCCAUUAUGCGCCACACAUGUAAGAGUUAAGCUUUCAAUCAACCAAGCAAAGUCAUAUAAUUGUUGAUGACAGAGUCAGGAAAAGAUCUGGGGAUUCUUAAUUCUUAAAGUAAUAUAUUUUUGAGGUCUCUUAAGAACUGUAUUAUUUUUUCUAGAUAAUAAAAAUAAAAAAACUACAAAGGAGGUACAAAUUAUUAUGUAUAAAGUAAAUAAGCUACAGGAAUAUAUUGUACGGCACAAGGAAUACAGCCAAUAUUUUAUAAUAAUCUUAAAUGGGGUAUAAUUAUAAAAAUAUUGAAUUACUAUGUUGUAUACCUGAAACUAACAUAAUAUUGUAAAUCAACUAUCCUUCAAUAAAACAAAAAGAGCAAAAAAAUUA
rnacentral:lncRNA from 1 species